rnacentral:rRNA from 1 species
AGCAGCCGCGGUAAUUCCAGCUCCAAUAGCGUAUAUUAAAGUUGUUGCAGUUAAAAGCUCGUAGUUGAAUUUCGGGGUCAGCAGGUCGGUCGUGCCAAUGGUAUGCACUGGCCUUGCUGAUUCCUCCCUCUUGAUGAGCCGUAAUGCCAUUAAUUUGGUGUUGCGGGGAAUCAGGACUGUUAUUUUGAAAAAUUGAGUGUUUAAAGCAGGCAAGCGCUUGAAUACAUUAGCAUGGAAUAAUGAAAUAGGACGUUCGAUCCUAUUUUGUUGGUUUCUAGGAUUGACGUAAUGAUUAAUAGGGAUAGUUGGGGGCAUUAGUAUUCAAUUGUCAGAGGUGAAAUUCUUGGAUUUAUUGAAGACUAACUACUGCGAAAGCAUUUGCCAAGGAUGUUUUCAUUAAUCAAGAACGAAAGUUAGGGAUCGAAGACGAUCAGAUACCGUCGUAGU